AUCAAGUUAGUUUAAAAAAGAUAUCAAACUGUGGAUUUGAAGAUAAAGAUCUUCCUUUACUUGAUU
rnacentral:tRNA from 1 species